CCCUUAGAUGUUCUGGGCCGCACGCGCGCUACACUGAUGCAUUCAACGAGUCUAAAACCUGGUCUGAUAGGGCUGGGUAAUCUUUUGAAAGUGCAUCGUGAUUGGGAUAGAUGAUUGCAAUUCUUCAUCUUCAACGAGGAAUGCCUAGUAAACGCAAGUCAUCAGCUUGCGUCGAUUACGUCCCUGCCCUUUGUACACACCGCCCGUCGCUCCUACCGAUUGGGUGUGCUGGUGAAAUGUUCGGAUCGGCCGUUUGUCGCGGUUUCCGCGUCAUGUGGCUGAGAAGUUCAUUAAACCCUCCCACCUAGAGGAAGGAGAAGUCGUAACA
rnacentral:rRNA from 1 species